rnacentral:lncRNA from 12 species
ACUGACAUUAACAGGAUGGUUUGGAAUGAGAGGUGUUCAAUGGCUAAAGAGUGCCCGUGGGACCAUCACUGGGAAGCUUGCCUAAGAAGAGAUGCUGGGGCUCCCAAGCCACAUGUCCCUACAGAGGCUGGCACACAUCAGGCCACUUUUACAGCUGAGAGGUGGAUUCUAGCCGAGUAACUUACCUCAUUUUGGAAAACUGGGGGCAAUGCAUCAAUUCAGAGGUCAACAUCUCCAGUCAUAAUCUUUC